GCGAUUUCCUGCUUCUUAGCGGGGGUUAGACUAGAUGGCCCUCUUCCAACUCUACUAUUCUAUGAUUCUAUGGUUCUGAAACAUGGCCAUACAGCUCGGUUAACUCACAGAUUCCGGCCGUGAAAGCCUUCGACAACACAUUGCAUGAGAACCUCCUGACGAUAAGAGUUGGACUACACUGCCUGGGAGAGUGGUGGAGUCUCCUUCCCGGAAGGCUUUUAAUUAAAGGCGGCGUGGCCAUCUCCCGGGGGUGCUUUGACUGUGGAUUCCUGCCUGGCAGAAUGGGGUCGGGCCGGAUGGUCUCCUCCAACUCGAUGGUGCUAAGGAACCCUAAAUGAAACUCAUGUUCAGCCUUGGGCCCCAUCUCCAAGAUAUCCGAUGAGGUAUGCGGAUGGAAAUACUGUACAGGCUUUUAACAAAACCCAAGCCUUUCGGAGAGCAAGGGGAUGCUCCGCCCUGCCUUUAGGACUCAGAGGGAGCCGGUCCUGGCGGAAAGGAAGAGGGAAGGCCGGGAGGGAGGCAGGCGGGCAGGCGGGGAGGUGGGCGGCGCUGCCUGGCGGGCAGGGAGCACUGGCACUCCGUGGCUGCGAGGAGAGAGAGGGAGAGAAAGCGAGCGAGCCACAGAGGCAGAGAGCGCUCUUCCAAGGCGCAGAAUGUGCUGCUGCUACCUGUGGCGCCUCCGCUCCGGGAAAGGGAGCCCGCUUCGGAUUCCUUAGCCAGAACAGACCAGGAGGAGAAAGGGCGCCUUGCCGCACUCCGUCCCCACUCCCGCCUUUGCUUUUGGAUGCCGAGGGCUUUUUUGUCCGCCCAGGGAAGGAAAGAAGGGCCACGAGGAAGAGGAAGGGGAGAAAGAGGAUGCCUUUCCCGCUGCGGACGGUGGCCCCGCUCGGCCUCUGCCGGCGGGACCAAGGCCCCGAGGAGGCGCGCUUCGGCUCCCUGGAGGAGGUGUGCGCCCACUCCCUGGUGGCCCUCCUCGGGCAGCUGGCCGACCUCUCCCGCUGCGCCGGGGACGUCUUCGCGGGCAUCCAGGGCCAAGCCGAGAGCCUGGGCCGCCGCGGGGAGAAGCUCCAGCGCCGCCUGCACGCCCUCCGCGCCCGCGUCGCACGCCUCGACCACCGCGCCGCCCGCGUCCGUAAGUCGCAGCCAUGCGGCCCCGAGGGGGUGUGUGUGUGUGGGGUGGGGGUCUGCAGUGGCGCCACUGAAGCUGGACUCGGGCUCCCCCCCCCCCCGGGACCCAAUUGAGCCCCUUCAGUGAGCCCAUUUGCAAGGACUUCACUAAGGUUGGGGUCGCCUCAUAUCCUCCACUGGAGAGGGGAUUGGGCUUUGGGUCUCCUCAAUGGCUCUGGGGGUGGAUUUAUAUGGAAUGGAGCCUGGAGAGUUGGGGGUCACCUUCUGCCCGCUGCUGGGGAGAGGAUUGGACUGGAGCUCCUGCCCUGUGCCCUCUCUCCAGUAUUAUGAUGUCAGGAGUGUUGGGAUCAUCUGGUGUAAUAAUAAU
rnacentral:lncRNA from 11 species